GAUCUUUGUAUCUUUGCAGUGGGAAGAGAUCGCAUGACUGGGUAUUCUCUGACUGCAUUUUUAUUUUGCAUAUGAAACAGUGAGAAUAAAGCCCAGGGGAGUUCAAACAGAGUGGCUUUUCUCCAAAUGCUACUUCCAGACACCUGGGAUACCCAUGUCUGUUCUUCAGUGUGUGCUCAGCUUUAUCUCCUGAGGUCAUACCCCCAGGCAGGUGAUGACUGAGCAUGGCAGGAGGGCUGUUGGGACUCUUUAAGUGAAUCCAGCAUCAUAUUGUCAUGGGAUCACUCAAAUAUCUUCAGACUCAGAUGUUUUUCCUACUGAAGUGCAUUGAAGUACUCAAGAUCAUAGGAGUGUAAUUAUCUGAAACUCUAUGCCAGAAGUCAGCACAUGCUUUCUGCAAAGGCCAAGAAGAUGGAUGUGUGGGAGACCAGCAUGGACCUUGUGAGAAAAUUAAUCCUUGGGAGCAUGAUAUGAAGGAGAAAGCUUCUGGGUCUACAUCCUACCAUUUUAUUUCUGAAUAUGAAAACCUUAUGCCAUAACUGUUUGGUGAUCUAGUAUGUGGGAUUUCAAACCCUGUCAUGGUCUACAUUGUGCCCCAGGUCCUGGCAUACAGUUCAAAUGAAGAAAAUGUUG